GAUUGGAGGUUCUUUUGGUUGAGCAUCCCGAUUUUUAAAUCGGGAGGGCCCUGGGUUCGAGUCCCAGCCAGUUCA
rnacentral:tRNA from 1 species